rnacentral:lncRNA from 1 species
UCGAUACAUAAAGGACCGCAAGAGAUUAUAUGGCAGGAUACUGGACAAUAACCGUGUCAAGUCCUCCAUUCAAGCAAAGUCCAAGGAUCGGUCUGAGAUGGAGUAGUUUGUCCUGCCUGUGCAAUGUUCUUUCCAGCAUCUCAGCUGUGUACUCUAAUUACUGGAGUAUUCUGUAGAUUCUUUUCAAUUAAACUACUCCAGAGAUGAGUCUUUUCCAUUAACUAAAUCUAAAUGAAACAUUAGAUGAAACUUGCCAGAGAUUAUUUAAAUAUUGCAGUAACUAUUUGACACACAUAUUGUCAUGCAUCAAUAGUAGCAUUAGUUGAAACUUUUAUAGUAGGACUUGCUGUUAUAGUGGGACUUAUCUCUGUAAUUUCGCCAAACUUCAUGUCACCAUGCGAAUAAUGUUUUUGCUCAAAAUUCUUUUCUGUUUGUGUGGUGCUAAACUGCCAAUAGAAGACGAGAAUUCUUGUUGAACAACGCUACAAUUGCAUUGUUGUAUGUUAUUUAGGGUUGUCCUAGUUGCAUAAGACCUGGAGUAAGAACAGGUCCAGUACUAAUUUUGUGUCUGUGUGCAUGUACAUGUGCACUUGGGCCUUCUAUAUACACAUAAUUCAGAGCAUCUUUUACUGUGCAUUUUGUUUCUUUGCUCAGUACAGAAUGUAUUGCAAGUGUUGUUCAUUAUUUUUUCCUUUUGUCUAAAUAUAUCACAAAAAGUUAUGUAUGGAGUAGUGAUUGUCUAAUGUCCUCUUAGAUUACCAAAUGGAUGAAGCGAAAUCUUGUGUGACCCCGUAGCGUAGCACGGGCAUCCUACUAGUUGGUAUGAUAAGUAUGUGUUAGGUUUGUCCAGUCCAUCAAUGUUGGUAAAUGUGUUGUGGUCUGUGAAUGUGU